rnacentral:rRNA from 1 species
AACGAACGCUGGCGGCAGGCCUAACACAUGCAAGUCGAGCGAGGACUUCGGUCCUAGCGGCGGACGGGUGAGUAACGCGUGGGAACGUUCCCUUUGCUUCGGAAUAGCCCUGGGAAACUGGGAGUAAUACCGGAUGAGCCCUUUUGGGGAAAGUUUUAUCGGGGAAGGAGCGGCCCGCGUUGGAUUAGUUAGUUGGUGGGGUAAUGGCAUACCAACCCGACGAUCCUUAGAUGGUUUGAGAGGAUGAUCAGCCACACUGGGACUGAGAAACGGCACAGACUCCUACGGGAGGAAGGAGAGGGGAAUCUUAGAAAAUGGGGGAAACCAUGAACUAGCCAGGACGGGUGAGAGAUGAAGGCAUUAGGGAAGAAAAGCACUUUAAGCUGGGAAGAUAAUGACGGUACCAGAAGAAGAAGCACCGGCUAACUCCGUG